rnacentral:rRNA from 1 species
CCCUUAGAUGUUCUGGGCCGCACGCGUGCUACACUGAGUGGAUCAGCGGGUCAGGUUGCGCGAAAGCGUUUCCUAAUCUUUAAAUCCGCUCGUGAUGGGGAUUGACGGUUGCAAUUUUCUGUCAUGAACGAGGAAUACCUUGUAAGCGCGGGUCAUCAUCCCGCGCUGAAUACGUCCCUGCCCUUUGUACACACCGCCCGUCGCUCCUACCGAUUGAAUGUGUUGGUGAGGAGCUCGGAUUGGCAGCAGUUGGUGGUUCGCCACCGGCUAUUGCUGAGAAGUCCUCCAAACCGCCCCAUUUAGAGGAAGGAGAAGUCGUAACA